CUUAGAGCUGCAAGGAACCCACCCUUCCCAUUAUGGGUAACCAGGUGAUCUGCUGUGUGGCCCUUUGUCUCCUCGGAGCAGGAACAGCAAGUGGUGGAAUCACUCAGACCCCCAAAUAUUUGUUCAGAGAGGAAGGACGAGGCGUGACUCUGGAAUGUGAACAGGAUUUUAAUCAUGACUCUAUGUACUGGUACCAACAAGACCCAGGGCAAGGGCUGAGACUGAUCUACUACUCGCUGGUAGAAAAUGAUGCUCAGAAAGGAGACAUACCUGAAGGCUACAGUGCCUCUCGGAUGAAGAAGGCAUUCUUCUCUCUCACCAUGACAUCGGUGCAAAAGAACCAGACAGCUCUAUAUCUCUGUGCCAGUGGUAGAGACACAGUGAAGCCCAGCCACCUCCUCUCUAUGCAGAAAUGGGUCUCAAGCCCUGAGUUCCCACCAGGUGGCAGGACUUUUCCUCUACCUGCCAAAGCACCCAAAGCAGCUGCUGCCAUCAACGUGCUUUGUAGAAUGGCAUUACACCUCGGCCAUCCACUAAGUUAG